rnacentral:rRNA from 1 species
CAGCCGCCGCGGUAAUACGUAGGGUGCGAGCGUUAAUCGGAAUUACUGGGCGUAAAGCGUGCGCAGGCGGUUGUGUAAGACAGGCGUGAAAUCCCCGGGCUCAACCUGGGAAUGGCGCUUGUGACUGCAAAGCUAGAGUGCGGCAGAGGGGGAUGGAAUUCCGCGUGUAGCAGUGAAAUGCGUAGAUAUGCGGAGGAACACCGAUGGCGAAGGCAAUCCCCUGGGCCUGCACUGACGCUCAUGCACGAAAGCGUGGGGAGCAAACAGGAUUAGAUACCCGCGUAGUCCCUGUCUCUUAUAC